AUUGAACGCUGGCGGCAUGCUUUACACAUGCAAGUCGAACGGUAACAGGCCUUCGGGUGCUGACGAGUGGCGAACGGGUGAGUAAUGCAUCGGAACGUACCCAGAGGUGGGGGAUAACGCAGCGAAAGCUGUGCUAAUACCGCAUGUGAUCUGAGGAUGAAAGCGGGGGACCGAGCAGCAAUGUUUGGCCUCGCGCCUUUGGAGCGGCCGAUGUCGGAUUAGCUAGUUGGUGGGGUAAAGGCCUACCAAGGCGACGAUCCGUAGCUGGUCUGAGAGGACGACCAGCCACACUGGGACUGAGACACGGCCCAGACUCCUACGGGAGGCAGCAGUGGGGAAUUUUGGACAAUGGGCGCAAGCCUGAUCCAGCAAUGCCGCGUGCGGGAAGAAGGCCUUCGGGUUGUAAACCGCUUUUGGCAGGAACGAAACGGUGUCCGCUAAUACCGGGCGCUAAUGACGGUACCUGCAGAAUAACACCGGCUAACUACGUG
rnacentral:rRNA from 1 species